rnacentral:lncRNA from 1 species
UGGAAUUUGUCCAAUUCAUAUCAUUUUUCUAAGGUGCAGUGGAAUCUAUUACAGGAUUGCAUGAGCUUAAUAGUCAGUCAAUCACCUAAAUCAAUCACCUAAAUUUCUGUUAAAAGGAUGUGAUGUAAACUGGAUAGCAUAAUUAGCCAAAGAAAAGAAAUUACAAAUUAUUGUUUAAAGAAACCUUUUACACCUCUGUUUGAACUUUUAAACUCAUUCUGCAAGAUCAGAGCAAACCACAACUAGUAGUAGCCUACGCUUGGAAAGGAAACAAGCUGACACUAAGAUUUCCCCCAAAUUUUCCAUUUCAGAGAUCGUCUUGGCCGGGUUCUGCGCGGACGACGCCCGGGCGACGACGGCCACCCUGCUGGCCGACCUGCCACGGGGCGAGACGCGGAGCGACGACGGGCUGGUGCCGCCGGCGCGGAGGGGCUUCCCGAGCCCCCGGGCCAUGGACAGAGACGCCGCGACGGCGGUGGCGGCCAUGGGUCCUGUGCUCAGCGCUUCCCUGUCGUGCGUCGCU